AACGAACGCUGGCGGCAUGCCUAACACAUGCAAGUCGAACGGGAUCCUAGCUUGCUAGGUGAGAGUGGCGGACGGGUGAGUAACACGUGGGAAUCUGCCUUUUGGUUCGGGAUAACCGCGGGAAACUGCGGCUAAUACUGAAUGCCCUCGAGAGAGGAAAAGAUUUAUCGCCAGAAGAGGAGCCCGCGUCCGAUUAGGUAGUUGGUGGGGUAAAAGGCCUACCAAGCCGACGAUCGGUAGCUGGUCUGAGAGGAUGAUCAGCCACACUGGGACUGAGAUACGGCCCAGACUCCUACGGGAGGCAGCAGUGGGGAAUAUUGGACAAUGGGGGCAACCCUGAUCCAGCAAUGCCGCGUGAGUGAUGAAGGCCUUAGGGUUGUAAAGCUCUUUUGCCAGGGAAGAUGAUGACUGUACCUGGAGAAUAAGCCCCGGCUAACUUCGUGCCAGCAGCCGCGGUAAU
rnacentral:rRNA from 1 species